GCAAGAUUGAAACUCAAAGGAAUUGACGGGGGCCCGCACAAGCGGAGGAGCAUGUGGUUUAAUUCGAUGAUACGCGAGGAACCUUACCUGGGCUUAAAUGUUGGACGACAGUCCCCGAAAGGGGACCUUUCUUCGGAACGUCUAGCAAGGUGCUGCAUGGUUGUCGUCAGCUCGUGCCGUGAGGUGUCGGGUUAAGUCCCAUAACGAGCGCAACCCCUAUUCUUAGUUGCCAUCAGAUAAUGCUGGGGACUCUAAGAAAACUGCCUACGCAAGUAGUGAGGAAGGUGGGGAUGACGUCAAAUCAGCACGGCCCUUAUGUCCAGGGCUACACACGUGCUACAAUGGCCGGUACAGAGGGCAGCUACCUGGUGACAGGAUGCUAAUCUCGAAAACCGGUCUCAGUUCGGAUCGGAGUCUGCAACUCGACUUCGUGAAGUCGGAUUCGCUAGUAAUCGCACAUCAGCCAUGGCGCGGUGAAUACGUUCCCGGGCCUUGUACACACCGCCCGUCAAGCCAUGGAAGCUGGGGGUACCUAAAGUCCGUAACCGCAAGGAGCGGCCUAGGGUAAAACUGGUGACUGGGGCUAAGUCGUAACAAGGUA
rnacentral:rRNA from 1 species